UUUCUUUGUUCUCUCUGUAUGGCCCACCUCCCACCCGUGACUAUUGUACCUUGUUGCUUCGGCGGGCCCGCCAGCGUUGCUGGCCGCCGGGGGGCGACUCGCCCCCGGGCCCGUGCCCGCCGGAGACCCCAACAUGAACCCUGUUCUGAAAGCUUGCAGUCUGAGUGUGAUUCUUUGCAAUCAGUUAAAACUUUCAACAAUGGAUCUCUUGGUUCCGGCAUCGAUGAAGAACGCAGCGAAAUGCGAUAACUAAUGUGAAUUGCAGAAUUCAGUGAAUCAUCGAGUCUUUGAACGCACAUUGCGCCCCCUGGUAUUCCGGGGGGCAUGCCUGUCCGAGCGUCAUUGCUGCCCUCAAGCCCGGCUUGUGUGUUGGGCCCUCGUCCCCCGGCUCCCGGGGGACGGGCCCGAAAGGCAGCGGCGGCACCGCGUCCGGUCCUCGAGCGUAUGGGGCUUCGUCUUCCGCUCCGUAGGCCCGGCCGGCGCCCGCCGACGCAUUUAUUUGCAACUUGUUUUUUUCCAGGUUGACCUCGGAUCAGGUAGGGAUACCCGCUGAACUUAAGCAUAUCAAAAGCCGGAGGAAUUACCGAAGUGCGGGUCUUUAUGGCCCAACCUCCCACCCGUGACUAUUGUACCUUGUUGCUUCGGCGGGCGCGCCAGCGUUGCUGGCCGCCGGGGGGCGACUCGCCCCGGGCCGUGCCGCCGGAGACCCAACAUGAACCCUGUUCUAAAGCUUGCACUCUAAGUGUGAUUCUUGCAAUCAUUCAAACUUUCACAUGGAUCUUGGGUUCGCAUGAUAAGAAGCACGAAUGCGAUACUAAGUGAAUUGCAGAAAUCGUGAAUAUCAGUCUUGAAGACAAAUGGGCCCGGGUAAUCGGGGGGCAUGCUGUCAGCGUCAUGCUGCCUACGCGCCGGUGUGUGAGCCCUCGCCCGGGGAGGGGCUAAAGGACGGCGCACCUCCUGUCCUCAA
rnacentral:rRNA from 1 species